rnacentral:rRNA from 1 species
ACGCCUGCCCAGUGAAUAUUAAACGGCCGCGGUAUCCUAACCGUGCAAAGGUAGCAUAAUCAUUUGUCUACUAAUUAUAGACCUGUAUGAAAGGCAAAAUGAGAGUCUAACUGUCUCUUAUAAUAAAUCAAUUAAACUGAUCUCCUAGUAAAAAAGCUAGAAUUUAACCAUAAGACCAGAAGACCCUGUGAAGCUUAAAAUAAACUAUUAAACCCAAUAAUAACUACUUUCGGUUGGGGCGACCUUGGAAAAAAAAAGAACUUCCAACAACACGACAUACCUCGUACCACAAAUUUUUAGGCCAACAAGCCAACCAACGACCCAGCAAAGCUGAUAAACGAACCAAGUUACUCCAGGGAUAACAGCGCAAUCUUCUUCAAGAGCCCAUAUCAAAAAGAAGGUUUACGACCUCGAUGUUGGAUCAGGACAUCCUAAUGGUGCAGAAGCUAUUAAGGGUUCGUUUGUUCAACGAUUAAUAGUCCUACGUGAUC